rnacentral:rRNA from 1 species
UGGUGGGUAGUUUGACUGGGGCGGUCUCCUCCCAAAGAGUAACGGAGGAGCACGAAGGUUGGCUAAUCCUGGUCGGACAUCAGGAGGUUAGUGCAAUGGCAUAAGCCAGCUUGACUGCGAGCGUGACGGCGCGAGCAGGUGCGAAAGCAGGUCAUAGUGAUCCGGUGGUUCUGAAUGGAAGGGCCAUCGCUCAACGGAUAAAAGGUACUCCGGGGAUAACAGGCUGAUACCGCCCAAGAGUUCAUAUCGACGGCGGUGUUUGGCACCUCGAUGUCGGCUCAUCACAUCCUGGGGCUGAAGUAGGUCCCAAGGGUAUGGCUGUUCGCCAUUUAAAGUGGUACGCGAGCUGGGUUUAGAACGUCGUGAGACAGUUCGGUCCCUAUCUGCCGUGGGCGCUGGAGAAUUGAGGGGGGCUGCUCCUAGUACGAGAGGACCGGAGUGGACGCAUCACUGGUGUUCGGGUUGUCAUGCCAAUGGCACU